AUUGAACGCUGGCGGCAGGCCUAACACAUGAAAGUCGAACGAGUGGCGGACGGGUGAGUAAUGUCUGGGAAAAUGCCUGAUGGAGGGGGAUCACUACUGGAAACGGUAGCUAAUACCGCAUAACAUCGGAUAUGCCAAGAUGGGAUUAGCUUGUGGGUGGGGUAAAGGCUCACCUCGGCGCCGAUCCCUAGGUGGUCUGAGGGGAUUACCAGCCACACUGGAACUGAGACACGGUCCAGACUCCUACGGGAGGACGCAGUGGGGAAUAUUGCACAAGGGGCGCAAGCCUGAUGCAGCCAUGCCGCGUGUAUGAAGAAGGCCUUCGGGUUGUAAAGUACUUUCAGCGGGGAGGCGUUACCCGCAGAAGAAGCACCGGCUAACUCCGUGCCAGCAGCCGCGGUAAUAC
rnacentral:rRNA from 1 species